AUACGUAGGGGGCGAGCGUUGUCCGGAAUGAUUGGGCGUAAAGGGCGCGUAGGCGGCCCGGUAAGUCUGGAGUGAAAGUCCUGUUUUUAAGAUGGGAAUUGCUUUGGAUACUGUCGGGCUUGAGUGCAGGAGAGGUAAGUGGAAUUCCCAGUGUAGCGGUGAAAUGCGUAGAGAUUGGGAGGAACACCAGUGGCGAAGGCGACGUACUGGACUGUAACUGACGCUGAGGCGCGAAAGUGUGGGGAGCAAACAGGAUUAGAUACCCUGGUAGUCCACACUGUAAACGAUGAAUGCUAGGUGUAGGGGGUAUCGACCCCUUCUGUGCCGCAGUCAACACAAUAAGCAUUCCGCCUGGGGAGUACGGCCGCAAGGUUGAAACUCAAAUGAAUUGACGG
rnacentral:rRNA from 1 species